rnacentral:rRNA from 1 species
GAUGAACGCUGGCGGCGUGCCUAACACAUGCAAGUCGAGCGAACCCUUCGGGGUGAGCGGCGGACGGGUGAGUAACGCGUGGGUAACCUGCCCUGUACACACGGAUAACAUACCGAAAGGUAUGCUAAUACGAGAUAACAUGUAAUGAUCGCAUGGUCGAUACAUCAAAGCUCCGGCGGUACAGGAUGGACCCGCGUCUGAUUAGCUAGUUGGUGAGGUAAUGGCUCACCAAGGCGACGAUCAGUAGCCGACCUGAGAGGGUGAUCGGCCACAUUGGAACUUAAACACGGUCCAAACUCCUACGGGAGGCAGCAGUGGGGAAUAUUGCACAAUGGGCGAAAGCCUGAUGCAGCAACGCCGCGUGAGCGAUGAAGGCCUUCGGGUCGUAAAGCUCUGUCCUCAAGGAAGAUAAUGACGGUACUUGAGGAGGAAGCCCCGGCUAACUACGUGCCAGCAGCCGCGGUAA